rnacentral:rRNA from 1 species
GUGGGGAAUUUUGGACAAUGGGGGCAACCCUGAUCCAGCAAUGCCGCGUGCAGGAAGAAGGCCUUCGGGUUGUAAACUGCUUUUGUACGGAACGAAAAGGCUCUGGUUAAUACCUGGGGCACAUGACGGUACCGUAAGAAUAAGCACCGGCUAACUACGUGCCAGCAGCCGCGGUAAUACGUAGGGUGCAAGCGUUAAUCGGAAUUACUGGGCGUAAAGCGUGCGCAGGCGGUGCUGUAAGACAGGCGUGACAUCCCCGGGCUUAACCUGGGAAUGGCGCUGGUGACUGCAGUGCUGGAGUGUGGAAGAGGGGGAUGGAAUUCCGCGUGUAGCAGUGAAAUGAGUAGAUAUGCGGAGGAACACCGAUGGCGAAGGCAAUCCCCUGGGCCUGCACUGACGCUCAUGCACGAAAGCGUGGGGAGCAAACAGGAUUAGAAACCCCGGUAGUCC